rnacentral:rRNA from 1 species
ACGUAGGGACCAAGCGUUGUUCGGAUUUACUGGGCGUAAAGGGCGCGUAGGCGGCCCCACAAGUCACUUGUGAAAUCUCCGGGCUUAACUCGGAACGGCCAAGUGAAACUGUGGAGCUAGAGUGUGGAAGGGGCAAUCGGAAUUCUUGGUGUAGCGGUGGAAUGCGUAGAGAUCCGGAGGAAGACCGGUGGCGAAGGCGGCCUGCUGGGCAGUUACUGACACUGAGGCGCGACAGCGUGGGGAGCAAACAGGA